UGGACGAGUAUGCAGGGCCGCAUUGUCUUCUCCAGCUCCGCAUCGGCGUCGUGGGCUGGAGGACGUUACUUCUGUGUUGGCUGUUUCCUCCGGUGAGCUGAUGCGUGGAGGAGACUGGAGAUUUGGUUGGGCAAGCGGCCUGUCCAUCCUAUACCUAUAACAAUAUCAUUGACAGUACUAGAGGUGGCAGUAUUUCGGUUCCCCUUGCUCCUGCUGGUUCAUCAUUGCCACAAUUGUUUGGACCUGGUUCUUCAGAUUUUGGUGCCUUUCAUAUCCUGGUUUCUUUGUUGUGUACUUCUUUUUGGGGGCUGUCCUGUGAUGUGAAGAAGUGUCAUUUAGUAUGUAUAUUAAGGUUUAGAAAAUGAAUGGGUUUUGCGUUUCUUUUUAGAGACUGCCCUGUGACACAAAGAAUAGGCAUCGAGUAUCUAUCUUAAUGUUUAAAGCAUGCCGCUUAUUUGA